GACGAACGCUGGCGGCGUGCUUAACACAUGCAAGUCGAACGGAAAGGCCCUGCUUUUGUGGGGUGCUCGAGUGGCGAACGGGUGAGUAACACGUGAGUAACCUGCCCUUGACUUUGGGAUAACUUCAGGAAACUGGGGCUAAUACCGGAUAGGAGCUCCUGCUGCAUGGUGGGGGUUGGAAAGUUUCGGCGGGUGGGGAUGGACUCGCGGCUUAUCAGCUUGUUGGUGGGGUAGUGGCUUACCAAGGCGUUGACGGGUAGCCGGCCUGAGAGGGUGACCGGCAACAUUGGGACUGAGAUACGGCCCAGACUCCUACGGGAGGCAGCAGUGGGGAAUAUUGCACAAUGGGCGGAAGCCUGAUGCAGCAACGCCGCGUGCGGGAUGACGGCCUUCGGGUUGUAAACCGCUUUCGCCUGUGACGAAGCGUGAGUGACGGUAAUGGGUAAAGAAGCACCGGCUAACUACGUG
rnacentral:rRNA from 1 species